UUGACAUUUCUUCAAACAGACUAAAUAGGCCUUUGGGCAUAAAGGCGGCGCCUCUCGACGCCGAAGCACGUCUGACGUCCACGGUGUUUGAGGGUAGAAGAUCAAGGAUGACCAUUCGUUAAUGAUCCCUCCGCAGGUUCACCUACGGAGA
rnacentral:misc_RNA from 1 species